GAUUUCCUGAAAGCAAUCUUCAACUGCUUCAGAAAGAGAAUGGGGCUCUACUUCAUCGACUCCACCUGAUUCAACUUGAUGUAUCUGAAUUGCCACACGUCAUUGACACCACCAGACAAACAGCAUCCUCAAAAUGACUAGGAACUACAUAACUCAACAUAUCUCCAGACCAAGAAACUAGUACAGUGCACAUUCUACAAUCUGGCCAGAGCUUCAGAUGAGAGCUUCCAUCAACACUAGAACUCCAAUCAGGAACUUCAUCAAGCAUCUCCUGCCAAACAGAGACUGUCUAACCUACUUAAGAGUUUAAUACACUACCAAUUUUCUUCUCACAUGUUCCCAUGAGAUUGUCAUUGACCCAUCUCAGCAGGAAGUAGUUUUGAGAAUUCCAAACUCCCUCUCCUACUUUUGAUUUGCAAGAAAGUUUACACCUGUUUGGGAACCUGUCUGGAUCAGACAGAACAGAGCAUGUGAUCAAGGAUUUAGACCAAAGCAGAAAACAAACAUGAAUGUGUGCUUACAAGAGACGAGGAAGAGGAAGGAAGACAGUUUUUCCCUCCAGACCCAGUGUGUGGGGACUGGGCCAUUGACUCAGUUGGCCAAAGCAUUUGGUGCUCCUGCAGAGGACCAGUUCCACGAGUUCAGCUGUCAGCAAAUGAGUUAGACUUCUCAAACUUCUCUAACUGGAGAUCCAGAGGAAUGAAGUCCUCCUCUUGUCUCUCUGGGUGCAUCCAUUUCUGUAAACCAAACACAAUAAAAUGAAUAAAAAAUUUGACAAGCA